rnacentral:lncRNA from 1 species
UCCAUAGCGGGUAAGAAAGGGUGCACCAAGAUCGCCGGCGGAGAUCGUCGCCUUGGUCUUGACGAGGCCAGCUGCCGUGACCCCAGGCGACCGGAACGUGAGGAGCCGGACCAAGGGACACCGAGAGAGAAGCCCGCCGUGGAGACGACUGCCAAGUUCUUCGCCUGCUCCAUAUGUCGACAUCCCCUCCCUCGAGGUGAAGAACUGGAUGAGCUUGGUAUAGUGGAGGAGUACGACGACGACGACGACGACGACGGCGACGAGCACUAUGUGUAUGGAGGCUUGGAUAUGUUCGAGCCAGCCACCACUGAUGAAGAGGACGCCAACGCGCAGGUGGAUGCUGACGAUCUUUACUACCUGGGGGUCAGUGACGACGAGAAUGAGGAAGUGGGAAGCGACGGCGGGACUGAUGACGACGGCGGUGAUGAUGCUGGAGGCGACGGCGGACGGGCUGGACCCCUCAGGUGGGACAACCUAUGGGACGACGACCCACCACAGUGA